rnacentral:tRNA from 1 species
GGUGCGUUAGUUCAGUUGGUUAGAAUGCCUGCCUGUCACGCAGGAGGUCGCUGGUUCGAGUCCUGUACGCACCGCCA